UCAGACUUUGCACCUGUGGGUCGACAAAGACACAACAACCACCAACGUCCUGCCGACAGCGAUGAGGCUGAGCGUCGUCUUCACCCUGAUCCUCAGCUUCAGCGGCGGCCGGCCGGCGUCCGUGUUUCUGGAUCCAGAUCGAGCUCACGCCGUCCUGGUGCGAACUCGCAGGUUCAACUCGGGCUGGUUGGAGGAGCUGCAGAAAGGAGAUCUGAAGCGGGAGUGUCUGGAGGAGAGAUGUUCGUACGAGGAGGCGCGGGAGGUGUUCGAACACACGGAGAGCACGGACGAGUUCUGGAAGAGGUACAAUGUCCCUGACACCUGUAAGUCCGACCCGUGUGUGAACGGCGGCAGCUGCUCGGGCCAGGACUCAUCCUACACCUGUUUCUGUUUACCACAAUUCAGCGGACUCAACUGUGAGCUCGAGACGCUGGCCGUCUCCAACACCUGCCUGCUGGAGAACGGAGGCUGCGAACAUUUCUGUGAUGAUGACGAGGAAGGACGAAGAUUAAACUGCUCUUGUGCGGAUGGUUACUUCCUGGAUGUCGAUGGGCGGAGCUGCGUAGCAAGAGAGUCACUCGCCUGCGGCAUGGUGCCCGUCCUCCAGGGGGACACCCAAGCGCCGCUCGACCCUCGAGCUCGAAUCGUCGGAGGGACAGAGUGUCCCCGAGGUGAAUGUCCCUGGCAGGUUUUGCUGAUGUACCAAAAGAAAGGUUUCUGUGGAGGAGUGAUUUAUAAACCCACGUGGAUCCUCACAGCGUCUCACUGUAUGGAGAACAUAGACGUCCAGCUCCUGCAGGUGGUUGCAGGCGAACACAACACAGAGGUGGCUGAGGGCACAGAACAGUUCAUCCAGGUGGUCGAGAUCAUCAUGCACGAGAGAUACGUCCCGCAGACGGCCGACAACGACAUCGCCCUGCUGCGCCUGGCCUCGCCCGUCAUCUACACCCCCCACGCCGUCCCGGCCUGCCUGCCCACGCGCCCGCUGGCCGAGCGCGACCUGUGGGCCGUCGGUCUGCACACGGUGAGCGGCUGGGGGCGGAGGGGCGAGCUCGGGCCCACCUCGCCCGUCCUGCGGCGCCUGCGGGUUCCACGGAUCCGGACGCAGCAGUGUGUGGAGGAGAGCGGCGUGGUCCUCACAGCAAACAUGUUCUGCGCCGGAUACAUCGAGGGCCGCCAGGACUCGUGUAAAGGCGACAGCGGCGGGCCCCUGGUGACCCAGUACAAGAACACAAUGUUCCUGCUGGGAAUCGUCAGCUGGGGGAAGGGCUGCGCCCGGCCGGGGAACUACGGCAUCUACACCCGAGUGUCCAACUACCUGGAGUGGAUCCACAACCGGACAGCGACAGAACCGAGGAACGUCACAGAGGCGUCGCUGCUCGAGGAGCCACAGGGCCUGAGGAGGAACCUCUGAGGAGGAACCUCUGAGGAGGAGCUGGAGGAGGAACCUCUAAGGAGGAGCUGGAGGAGGAACCUCUGAGGAGGAGCCAGAGGAGGAACAUCUGAGGAGGAGCUGGAGGAGGAAUCUCUAAGGAGGAGCCGGAGGAGGAACCUCUGAGGAGGAACCUCUGAGGGCCCAUGACCUCCUGAAGCUGCUUCCAUCACAUAAUCGUUUUCGUCACAUGUGAAGAUUUGAUGUUUUCAAUCAUUUGUCUUAUUCUGGGUUUUAAACGAAUUAUUCAACAUUUUAUAGAAGCUCCUCAAACAACAUGAAUAAAAUCUAAAUAUGCUUUAAUUUGAAUUUAGUUUAAUAAUGACAAAAUUAUCACAGAAAUAUUUUUAUCUUUGUGUGUGUGUGUGUGUGUGUACACAGGGUGUUAUACAGUCCAGUGUUUGAAGUGGUCAUCUCCUCUGAACUGUGACUGUGAACUCUGGACCUUUCAGAAUAAAACACCUUCUAUGAUAUAACUAGUUAAAGUGGUUCUUAAUCUUUUAUAGAAUUUGUAUUGAUCAAGUUGUUUUCCAUGUUAUUAAAACUUUGUUUUUCUUCAACAGUGAAUAAAUGUUUGAAUCAUCUGAUAUUUCAAUGUGAAUAAAAUCCCUCAGUGAGUCCUUCA